ensembl:lncRNA
CUGGACCCAGAGGAACCCUGAAGACCUGAACCCAGAGGAACCCUGAAGACCUGGACCCACAGGAACCCUGAAGACCUGAACCCAGAGGAACACUGAAGACCUGAACCCAGAGGAACCCUGAAGACCUGAACCCAGAGGAACCCUGAAGACCUGGACCCAGAGGAACCCUGUCUCCUUCCAGUCGACAUGCAGCAGAUCUACAGACACUCUGAGGAACACCUGGAGGUUUUUACCACCGUCUUCUCCCCACAAGUCUGCAGGUCAAGGACGAGAACCAGACAGGUGGCAGCAGAGAAGGUGGUGGUGGUGACAUCAUACCGGUCUCGCUGGCCUAAGGAGCUGGACCUGAACCGGGGAGACCUGGUCCAGGUUCUGUUUAAGGAGGACGAGGCCUGGUGGUUCGGCCGGCUGCCCACCGGACACCAGGGCUAUUUUCCCGCCACCUGUGUGGAGCCGCUGCAGGGUGGGGCUGCGCAGACCACGCCCCCUCCGAGGAGGAGGGUGUCGGUGCCAGCAGUGCAAACAGACAAAAACCCCUGUGGCUGCACCAGCGGUCACAGCACUCCAAAACUGCUGAGGAAAAACAGCGUUCAGCGGCCGGUCGGUCUCGACGGACCCUCGGAGUCGUUGGAACCAGGAGUGUCGGCGGCUCACGGGUCGUCCAGCCUCCUGCACCGAGUCCUGGCCAAGUCCAGGAGGAAGAGCUGCCCUCAGCAGCCCCACCCAGCUCCAGACUCCGGCACUAUCAACACCGCCUUCCAGCCAGACUAGACCAGAACCUGCUGCUGUCCAGCCAGACUAGACCAAAACCUGCUGCUGUCCAGACGGUCUAGACUCGGUUUCUCAGUGAUUCCUGAUUCUGCUCCUGAAACCCUGAAGACACUGAAGACAAACCGACCCUCAUGUUCUCUCUGAGGUCGUCCUGUUUGAGUCUCCAUCACUUCCAGGUCCAGUCCGAGUCACUUGAGAUCACCUUCAGGUCGCUGAUGUCCUAUAGGUCUGAGUCCAAGUGUCCUGAUCGGGUCUGAACAUCAUGUUCGAGUCACCAAAGACUUGUCCGAGUCACACAGGUGAAGACCUGUCGAGGUUCAGUUCUGAGUCCCUGAGAAAAAGUCCCAGUUACUCUCAUGACUCCUGAAGGACACAAACCAGCUGGAGUCGUUGCAUUAAGUCUCUCAGGUGUCUGAAGUGUCUCCAUACCUGAAUCUGAGU